GCAGAUGUGCUUUAAUUUCAGGCUAACGAAGGCGACGCAGGAGCAGCGGAGCUCACCGGAGAUUCCUCACCAGUUAAACUUGAAUAGAACUUGACUCCCGGACGAUCCUCGACGGUCUCAAAAAAAAAAAAAACCCCUUGGAUAAUUCCGCUAUGGCGAAGGGGAAGCGGAACUACCGACCCAGCCCUUCACUCUGCAGUAGCUGCUUCAAAUGAAUGGUGUGUGUGAAGUUUGUCUCAGUCCAGAAAUUACAGCCCGUGUGUAAAACUGCUCUGUUAAUAAUUAAAGCUGUGAUAACUCUACACGUGAGAAACAUGCUGAAACUAAAUCAGAAAUUAAAUUAAGUCGAAAAGCAUUUUAGGUAAUGUAGUUCAACAUUUAAAAGUCUGUCAACAAGAUGCUGAUAAGUACACAUUUAUACACUCACGUUUUAAUUCAGUUAUGGUCCAUCAACACUGUGUUUUUUUUUUUUUUUUGGUGAAAGAUUUUGAAUCAUGAUACACACUUAUUUCAUAAAUAAAAACAAUACUGUGGCAGAUUUCUCUGUGUUAUCUCUGAAAUAGAGAUGGAAACAGAACCAGCUCAGAGUUUGAUGCCUUAUCACCCAGAUCAAUGUGAUAACAAGUUAACAUGUGGUUUGCCUUGCCCAUAUAUGGUAUAGAUACUUGUAUCUGUCUAUAACUGUCUAUAUAUGAAUAUGAAGCUCUAUAUUUAAUUAUCUAGAUCUAAAUGCCACUCAUGAUAUAUAUUUUCCAUUUCAGAAGCUUAAAUUACAGAAUUUUAUAAGAAAAGUAUUUUAUAACUAGCCUGAAUAUGCACUACAGUAUUAUGACACUGCAAUUAUAACUUACAAUCUGACCUUUGUUGAUAAAAAAAAAAAAAAAGAGGUAGAAAUUCAACAAACAAACUUUAUUGUCAUCACACAGCAAGUUCACAAAGAGCACACAAAACAGAUCUUUGCUUUUUUAUCAUUUGGAGUUCAAAAUAUUGUUUGCAGUUGAGAUAAAGAGCUUCCUAUGAACAUGACUGGUGGCCACACCACAUUCUUGAGUCAAGUGUUUCAAAGUGAAUAAAUAAACAAAUGUCAUCUUCCA